rnacentral:lncRNA from 1 species
GAAUUGUUCCUGAAAGCUGAUUAUCGGAUAAGUCAAGUGCUUUGAGAGCUUUCAAAUUGGUGUAGCUCACCGGAAUUUCACCAGUAAACUGGUUCUUGAAAAGGAGCAAGUUCUCGAGUUUGGUAAGAUUUCCGAGUCGUGGCGGGAGAUUGCCUGAUAGAUUACACUGUGAGAUAUCUAGGUACUGGAGAUUAGUCAACAAUGCAAAUUCUUCUGGUACAUUGCCUGAUAGGAGUUCAUUGUAGCCAAGCUCCAGGUGCUGGAGCUGGAUCAAGAAUCCUAAAUCGGGUGGCAAUGGUCCUUCCAGUUCAUUUCCAGCUAAGUCCAGGUACUUCAAUUUCAGGAAGCUUCCAUAACUCCUUGG